AAGGGAUUCCCCUAGUAACUGCGAGUGAAGCGGGAAAAGCUCAAAUUUAAAAUCUGACAGUUGUUCUGGCUGUCCGAGUUGUAAUCUAGAGAAGUGUUGCCCGCGCUGGACCGUGUACAAGUCUCCUGGAAUGGAGCAUCAUAGAGGGUGAGAAUCCCGUCUUUGACAUGGACUACCAGGGCUUUGUGGUGCGCUCUCGAAGAGUCGAGUUGUUUGGGAAUGCAGCUCAAAAUGGGUGGUAAAUGCCAUCUAAAGCUAAAUAUUGGCGAGAGACCGAUAGCGAACAAGUACCGUGAGGGAAAGAUGAAAAGAACUUUGGAAAGAGAGUUAAACAGUACGUGAAAUUGCUGAAAGGGAAACGCUUGAAGUCAGUCGCAUCGACUGGAAAUCAACCUUGCUUUUGCUUGGUGUAUUUUCUGGCUUGAUGGGUCAGCAUCAAUUUUGAUCGCUGGAUAAAGGCUUGGGGAAUGUGGCAUCUUAGGAUGUGUUAUAGCCCUUGGUUGCAUACAGCGGUUGGGAUUGAGGAACUCAGCACGCCGCAAGGCCGGGUUUCGACCACGUUUACGUGCUUAGGAUGCUGGCAUAAUGGCUUUAAUCGACCCGUCUUGAAACACGGACCAAGGAGUCUAACAUGCCUGCGAGUGUUUGGGUGGAAAACCCAUGCGCGCAAUGAAAGUGAAAAGUUGAGAUCCCUGUCGUGGGGAGCAUCGACGCCCAGACCAGACCUUUUGCGACGGAUCUGCGGUAGAGCAUGUAUGUUGGGACCCGAAAGAUGGUGAACUAUGCCUGAAUAGGGUGAAGCCAGAGGAAACUCUGGUGGAGGCUCGUAGCGAUUCUGACGUGCAAAUCGAUCGUCAAAUUUGGGUAUAGGGGCGAAAGACUAAUCGAACCAUCUAGUAGCUGGGUUCCUGCCGAAGUUUCCCUCAGGAUAGCAGAAACUCAUAUCAGAUUUAUGUGGUAAAGCGAAUGAUUAGAGGCCUUGGGGUUGAAACAACCUUAACCUAUUCUCAAACUUUAAAUAUGUAAGAACAAGCCGUCUCUUGACUGGAC
rnacentral:rRNA from 1 species